rnacentral:lncRNA from 1 species
CCCUUGGUGUGCAGGUAAGGGCCACAGGGUCUGGGUGAGCACAGGUGGCCCUCCCUUCUCACUGACCAGUCUGUGUGGGAACGNNNNNGGGGGGGUGGGGGUGGUCUCAGAGGACCUGGCUGGCCUACACCAUCGGUGUCGUGCUGGUUCCCAGAAGUGAGCCGAACAGCAGCUGGCAUGGGGUGUCCUGCAGAUGCCAUUGCCAAAUCUGUUGCCCUGGCUGGUGGUCUAGCCCCGGGCUGGCCUCUCGGAAACCUCCCCCCUCACCUCCAGGUUCUGGCACUGUGGGUGUCCGGGCUGACUGCUCUGGGGCACUGGGACGUUGCUGUCUCUGUGGUCAAGGGACUGACUGACAUCAGCCCGGGCUCACGUGGGUCCAGGCUGGACCGGACGGGCUGGCUCCUCUCCCACCUGCGAUGUGUGGUCAUCCCCAGGCAGCUUGCGGCCACCCUUGGACCAGCCUUCCGGCCUUCCUUCCAGCUGCUGGCCUUGGCUCACUCCUUCUUCUGCCCUGGUCCUGUCAGCUGCUUUGUGAGACAGGGCUGAAGGUCCCUGAGACUGAGGUGACCUUCGCUCCUCCUGGAGUCCUGGAUUGAAGAUCUGGAUUGGCGUUUGCCCAGCAAAAAAACCUGUCCAGUUUGUUUUUCUGUGUCCCUGCGACCAUGGGGUCAGGGACACCAUGGGGGGCAGGGGCUGGACCCUAGGGUAGGGUCACUUCUGCCAGCCUGUGGGUCUUCCUAAGUGAGGUGGGGUCUCGCCAGCUCAAGUGGACCACGAAGGCACACUUGUGGACGCCUUGAUGCGAACCUGCACACUGCGGUCGUGGUGGAGACUGGGAUCGUGUCCUGGGACCUGGCUCUUAUCUGGGGUACCCAGCUAAAUGAAGGACUCUGUGUCCCGGCUCCCUCUCCCUGUAGCAGCCAUGUGCCUGCGUUCUGUGCAACAACGUGGACGCAGAAGCACAUGACAUCCGGGAGCUGUGUCCUCCUCCCGUCCCCCUGCUGCUUCUGUCUGGAGCCUCAGGGUGACCUUGAACCCAAGAGCAGAGCUUGAGGGAGGCCUGCACCUGGACAGAGCAGGCAGAUGGAGGCUGGCUUCCUGAGGCCUUGUCGGCGACAACACCCAGACCACUGUCUCUGGACUUUGUACUUGACCGAGAAAUAAACGCCUGUCUGGUUUCAAA